UCACUGAUAAUAUGCUAAAGCUUCUCGGGAAACGUAGGAAAUCUAAACGUCACUCUGGGUAAUGAUCAAUCCUUCAAGAAUGCCUCUUCCUCGACAGCUGCUACUGUAUAUGUUCAUGCCAUAUACUGGUGUACAAAACGGAGCAUUUAAUGAAUCAUCGUCCAGAAGUGUGGAAUUGCCAAACCUUUGGUUUCUAAUCUAAAGGUCAGUGGGGUUCAAAGCUUCUUGGAACCACCUACUUGAUACACACCGUCGGCAAGGUCUUCAUUAUUAACAAAGAGAUCAUGAUAUGUAUGUAGUUUGUUGAUCAUUUAUCAAUCAAAUGUGUUAAUGGCUGUAAUUAUAGCCGAGGCAGUUUUUCAUUAUAGGUGACCACAUUUGCCAUCAAAUAAUUCCAUUAUAUAUUCAAGUCCCGAAAUCAUUUAGAUGACUGGAGUUGAUUCAUCGAGAUUAUAACUGAACCAAAGUCAUUUUGCCACUUAACAGAGAUACCUGAUUUUGAUAGUUUUUAGUUGAAUUAGCCGAUUCUACAUGUAAAUGAUUUUAUCUCAUUGGUGAUAAACAAUUUUCAUAAAAUUAACAAUAUGUUUAUUGUCUAGGAAAAAACGUGUAUUACAUCAUCUAAACCACAUUAAAUAUUAUUUCAGUAGUAUAUUACAUCUUUUUCCUAGUAACAGCUAAGCUAAUUUUAAACGCAAAAAUUAUCAUUGAGUUAUUUUAAUUUAUAAUCUUGCAAAAAUUAUAGGUACAAACAUGAUAGUCUUACCUUGUCAUUUCAGUGCAUCUCCCUGAUUAGUUGCUCGCCCAAGCAUUGGAUGGUUAAUUGAAUCUCCAUUUUCGAACCCAAACUGUAUGUUAUCUUAUUAUUCACUGGCAGAAUAGCCCUCGUUCAAAAAUAAUGGUGUGAAGUCGAUAUCUUUUUGUCAAUUUGGGAGUUCACUUGACAAUAAAGGCGCGGAGUCGCUAUGUCUUUGUUAUUUUGGUAGAAACCUUCCUUUCUUCUGUGUUUGGUUGGAGCGAUCAUGGGUCAGGGGAACUAUAGGGUUGUCCACCCCAUGCCAGAUACAGAAGAAAUGAAUAAGGAUUUUACUGAAAUGACAAAAAGAGAAUGCAUCUGGAGCCAUGCAUAUCUUUUGAAAUGAAGGUGUAGGGGUGGGCAUUUAGGUUCGGUUUUUUCGGUUUCAAUUCGGCUUGUAAUCCGUUCCGGUUUAAGAAUUUAACCCGAACGGGUUGAAAAAUAAAUUUGAUUCGUUUUCCGGUCCGGUUCGAUUCGGGUUUA
rnacentral:lncRNA from 1 species